UUUCAAUUGGUCUUUACUGUUUAUUCAUGUCUGGUUUGUCUUUGUAUUGUUAUCAUUACUUAAGUUUCUUUUUCCCUCUCUGAUAAAAGGAUUAAGCCCUCAGAAGGAGGUUACACACUAAGAAGAACUUCACAUAAAGUGGAAGAUAUAUCCAACCAAACAGAUGAACAAAUCUCAAGAUAGGAACACAGUAUGCAAAAGCAUGAUCAAGUUUGGUGAGACAUGGACAUUUAACAUCAGUUAGAAUGCCAACGUGGCACCUGCUUCUCAUCGGACAGGACGGGCACUGACUGUGCACUGGAAAUUGAGGGUUUUUAUGGGAACAUCUUCAACUUGAAGAGAGAUAAACAACUGCGGUCACUCAAUUCUUAACGUAGUCACUGGAAUAAAAAUGAGAUUGUCCCUUCUUUCUCUGCUUCCUGGCCACCAUGAUGCAUGCACCUUUACUCC
rnacentral:lncRNA from 1 species